rnacentral:rRNA from 1 species
UACGUAGGGGCCUAGCGUUGUCCGGAUUUAUUGGGCGUAAAGAGCUCGUAGGCGGCUUGUCGCGUCGACCGUGAAAACUUGGGGCUCAACCCCAAGCCUGCGGUCGAUACGGGCAGGCUCGAGUUCGGUAGGGGAGACUGGAAUUCCUGGUGUAGCGGUGAAAUGCGCAGAUAUCAGGAGGAACACCGGUGGCGAAGGCGGGUCUCUGGGCCGAUACUGACGCUGAGGAGCGAAAGCGUGGGGAGCGAACAGG